rnacentral:rRNA from 1 species
GAUGAACGCUGGCGGCGUGCCUAAUACAUGCAAGUCGAGCGAACGGACGAGAAGCUUGCUUCUCUGAUGUUAGCGGCGGACGGGUGAGUAACACGUGGAUAACCUACCUAUAAGACUGGGAUAACUUCGGGAAACCGGAGCUAAUACCGGAUAAUAUUUUGAACCGCAUGGUUCAAAAGUGAAAGACGGUCUUGCUGUCACUUAUAGAUGGAUCCGCGCUGCAUUAGCUAGUUGGUAAGGUAACGGCUUACCAUGGCAACGAUGCAUAGCCGACCUGAGAGGGUGAUCGGCCACACUGGAACUGAGACACGGUCCAGACUCCUACGGGAGGCAGCAGUAGGGAAUCUUCCGCAAUGGGCGAAAGCCUGACGGAGCAACGCCGCGUGAGUGAUGAAGGUCUUCGGAUCGUAAAACUCUGUUAUCAGGGAAGAACAUAUGUGUAAGUAACUGUGCACAUCUUGACGGUACCUAAUCAGAAAGCCACGGCUAACUACGUGCCAGCAGCCGCGGUAAUACGUAGGUGGCAAGCGUUAUCCGGAAUUAUUGGGCGUAAAGCGCGCGUAGGCGGUUUUUUAAGUCUGAUGUGAAAGCCCACGGCUCAACCGUGGAGGGUCAUUGGAAACUGGAAAACUUGAGUGCAGAAGAGGAAAGUGGAAUUCCAUGUGUAGCGGUGAAAUGCGCAGAGAUAUGGAGGAACACCAGUGGCGAAGGCGACUUUCUGGUCUGUAACUGACGCUGAUGUGCGAAAGCGUGGGGAUCAAACAGGAUUAGAUACCCUGGUAGUCCACGCCGUAAACGAUGAGUGCUAAGUGUUAGGGGGUUUCCGCCCCUUAGUGCUGCAGCUAACGCAUUAAGCACUCCGCCUUGGGAGUACGACCGCAAGGUUGAAACUCAAAGGAAUUGACGGGGACCCGCACAAGCGGUGGAGCAUGUGGUUUAAUUCGAAGCAACGCGAAGAACCUUACCAAAUCUUGACAUCCUUUGACAACUCUAGAGAUAGAGCUUUCCCCUUCGGGGGACAAAGUGACAGGUGGUGCAUGGUUGUCGUCAGCUCGUGUCGUGAGAUGUUGGGUUAAGUCCCGCAACGAGCGCAACCCUUAAGCUUAGUUGCCAUCAUUAAGUUGGGCACUCUAAGUUGACUGCCGGUGACAAACCGGAGGAAGGUGGGGAUGACGUCAAAUCAUCAUGCCCCUUAUGAUUUGGGCUACACACGUGCUACAAUGGACAAUACAAAGGGCAGCGAAACCGCGAGGUCAAGCAAAUCCCAUAAAGUUGUUCUCAGUUCGGAUUGUAGUCUGCAACUCGACCACAUGAAGCUGGAAUCGCUAGUAAUCGUAGAUCAGCAUGCUACGGUGAAUACGUUCCCGGGUCU